rnacentral:piRNA from 1 species
UGGGAUGCUGAGGACUGUGAUGUAUCAC